rnacentral:rRNA from 1 species
UACAGAGGGGGCGAGCGUUGUUCGGAAUUACUGGGCGUAAAGGGCGCGUAGGCGGCCCGCUAAGUCGAACGUGAAAUCCCCAGGCUCAACCUGGGAACUGCGUCCGAUACUGGCAGGCUUGAAUCCGGGAGAGGGAUGUGGAAUUCCAGGUGUAGCGGUGAAAUGCGUAGAUAUCUGGAGGAACACCGGUGGCGAAGGCGGCAUCCUGGACCAACACUGACACUGAUGAGCGAAAGCCAGGGGAGCAAACGGG